UACGAGGGGGGCAAGCGUUGUUCGGAUUUAUUGGGCGUAAAGGGCGCGCAGGCGGUUGGUCACAUCGGCGGUGAAAGCCCCCCGCUCAACGGGGGAGGGUCCGUCGAGAUGGGCCGACUGGAGGCAGGGAGAGGGCGGUGGAAUUCCGGGUGUAGUGGUGAAAUGCGUAGAUAAUCCGGAGGAACACCAGUGGCGGAAGGCGGCCGCCUGGACCUGGACC
rnacentral:rRNA from 1 species